GCCGGGCGUAGUGGUGGGCACCUGUAAUCCCAGCUACUGGGAGGCUGAGGCAGGAGAAUCGCUUGAACCCAGGAGGUGGAGGUGGCAGUGAGCAGAGAUCAUGCCACUGCUCUCCAGCCUGGGCAACAGAGUGAGACUCUGUCUCAA
rfam:Pan troglodytes isolate Yerkes chimp pedigree #C0471 (Clint) chromosome 1, whole genome shotgun sequence.